rnacentral:tRNA from 1 species
UCCUUGGUGGUGCAGUGGCUAAGACUCUGCACUCCCAAUGCAGGGGGUCUGGGUUCAAUUCAUGGUCAGGGAA